rnacentral:rRNA from 1 species
GAUGAACGCUAGCGGCAGGCUUAAUACAUGCAAGUCGAGGGACAGCACAGGUAGCAAUACUGGGUGGUAACCGGCAAACGGGUGCGGAACACGUACACAACCUUCCUUUAAGUGGGGGAUAGCCCAGAGAAAUUUGGAUUAGUACCCCGUAAUAUAGUUGAAUGGCAUCAUUUGAUUAUUAUAGCUACGGCGCUUAAUGAUGGGUGUGCGGCUGAUUAGAUAGUUGGCGGGGUAACGGCCCACCAAGUCUACGAUCAGUAGCUGAUGUGAGAGCAUGAUCAGCCACACGGGCACUGAGACACGGGCCCGAGUCCUACGGGAGGAAGCAGUAUGGAAUAUUGGUCAAUGGACGCAAGUCUGAACCAGCCAUGCCGCGUGAAGGAUUAAGGUCCUCUGGAUUGUAAACUUCUUUUAUUUGGGACGAAAAAGGGCCUUUCUAGGUCAACUGACGGUACCAGAUGAAUAAGCACCGGCUAACUCCGUGCCAGCCGCCGCGGUAACAC